UGGUUUUGGACCCGUGUCUGCCGGUAGAUCCCCCGUUUUUGUGCGGCCGACUACCGGCGCCGUGUCCAGUUGUUCCUGUGGCUUUGUGUUACCGUUGCCUUUCAAGUGCUUGCGUGCUGGUACCCGAACUAAGGGAAUUGGUGCUACGUACAUGUUGCCUCGCGGUGGACGCCUUCGGGUGUGCUGCUGCGGCCAAAUGGCGCUUGCGGCGUUGCCUCGUUACNNUGCCACGUUUACGUGGUUGUUGUUAUCAAGGCAACCUCGCUCCCGCUGUUGGUCUCGGAUGUUGCCCACGAUGAAGUCUCAUGGCCCUUUUUGGUUGCCUAGACCCGACCCUAAGAAGCUCUCCGAAUUGAGAUCAACCGGAACAGGUGUUGCCUCUACGUAUUCCGCAGUUAGUGGUAUGAUACGCAACAUUUUGCGCCGAUCCUCAAAUAAGUAGGACGAGCUUGGCCCGCUCAAUUGUGACAACCGGCGCGGGGACUGCUUCUGGCUUGACACGCAAGUGGACGGACGGACGACUCCCGACGCUGGACGUCAACAAGGA
rnacentral:misc_RNA from 1 species